AUUGAACGCUGGCGGCAGGCCUAACACAUGCAAGUCGAGCGGAUGAAGGGAGCUUGCUCCUGGAUUCAGCGGCGGACGGGUGAGUAAUGCCUAGGAAUCUGCCUGGUAGUGGGGGAUAACGUCCGGAAACGGGCGCUAAUACCGCAUACGUCCUGAGGGAGAAAGUGGGGGAUCGUCGGACCUCACGCUAUCAGAUGAGCCUAGGUCGGAUUAGCUAGUUGGUGGGGUAAAGGCCUACCAAGGCGACGAUCCGUAACUGGUCUGAGAGGAUGAUCAGUCACACUGGAACUGAGCCACGGUCCAGACUCCUACGGGAGGCAGCAGUGGGGAAUAUUGGACAAUGGGCGAAAGCCUGAUCCAGCCAUGCCGCGUGUGUGAAGAAGGUCUUCGGAUUGUAAAGCACUUUAAGUUGGGAGGAAGGGCAGUAAGUUAAUACCUUGCUGUUUUGACGGUACCAACAGAAUAAGCACCGGCUAACUUCGUG
rnacentral:rRNA from 1 species